AAGCCAUGUUCUCAUCUCAUUGAGACUCUCUUGACUCAGCAAAGAGAGAAGCUGGCAGAAGUUCAACCACUUCUCUCCAGUUCUGCUUGGCAUAAGGCCAGACCCAACAUAGUCACCCAUCCCUGCGUGGAAGGAAUUUAAUACCCAGUAGGCAGAAUUCAGCCUUCAGGAUGCAGUCCUGGCUCCUCACUGUACACUGGUUGAGAACACUCAGGGAAUGACCCACUGAGGAGCUGAUGAUGUGGUGGGACCAAGCACACAGGGAAAUUCUCACUCCAAGGGGAUCCUGAGUCAUGCAUUGUUUCUUGUUUGAGUCCAGAAAAGGAGAGGAAGAGAAUAGCAGUGAUAGCCCCUGGGAAGAUGGAGGCACUGUCAGAUUGGGAGCAUCUUUGUCCAUUGGGAGAAGCCAGUGUUAAGAGCUUCCCAAGAGAAGGAAGCCAGCCAUAUGUCCAGUAUGUUCUUGUAGUGUAUUUCACACUACAAGAAGUGAAGAAAAAAGU